rnacentral:rRNA from 1 species
UACAUGCAAGUCGAGCGAACAGAUAAGGAGCUUGCUCCUUUGACGUUAGCGGCGGACGGGUGAGUAACACGUGGAUAACCUACCUAUAAGACUGGGAUAACUUCGGGAAACCGGAGCUAAUACCGGAUAACAUAUUGAACCGCAUGGUUCAAUAGUGAAAGGCGGCUUUGCUGUCACUUAUAGAUGGAUCCGCGCCGUAUUAGCUAGUUGGUAAGGUAACGGCUUACCAAGGCAACGAUACGUAGCCGACCUGAGAGGGUGAUCGGCCACACUGGAACUGAGACACGGUCCAGACUCCUACGGGAGGCAGCAGUAGGGAAUCUUCCGCAAUGGGCGAAAGCCUGACGGAGCAACGCCGCGUGAGUGAUGAAGGUCUUCGGAUCGUAAAACUCUGUUAUCAGGGAAGAACAAAUGUGUAAGUAACUGUGCACAUCUUGACGGUACCUGAUCAGAAAGCCACGGCUAACUACGUGCCAGCAGCCGCGGUAAUACGUAGGUGGCAAGCGUUAUCCGGAAUUAUUGGGCGUAAAGCGCGCGUAGGCGGUUUUUUAAGUCUGAUGUGAAAGCCCACGGCUCAACCGUGGAGGGUCAUUGGAAACUGGAAAACUUGAGUGCAGAAGAGGAAAGUGGAAUUCCAUGUGUAGCGGUGAAAUGCGCAGAGAUAUGGAGGAACACCAGUGGCGAAGGCGACUUUCUGGUCUGUAACUGACGCUGAUGUGCGAAAGCGUGGGGAUCAAACAGGAUUAGAUACCCUGGUAGUCCACGCCGUAAACGAUGAGUGCUAAGUGUUAGGGGGUUUCCGCCCCUUAGUGCUGCAGCUAACGCAUUAAGCACUCCGCCCUGGGGGAGUACGACCGCAAGGUUGAAACUCAAAGGAAUUGACGGGGACCCGCACAAGCGGUGGGAGCAUGUGGUUUAAUUUCGAAGCAACGCGAAGAACCUUACCAAAUCUUGGACAUCCUUUGACUGCUCUAGA